rnacentral:rRNA from 1 species
GACGAACGCUGGCGGCGUGCUUAACACAUGCAAGUCGAACGGAAAGGCCCUGCUCUUGUGGGGUGCUCGAGUGGCGAACGGGUGAGUAACACGUGAGUAACCUGCCCUUGUCUUUGGGAUAACUCCAGGAAACUGCGGCUAAUACCGGAUAGGAGCUCCUGCUGCACGGUGGGGGUUGGAAAGAUUCGGCGGUUGGGGAUGGACUCGAGGCUUAUCAGCUUGUUGGUGGGGUAGUGGCUUACCAAGGCUUUGACGGGUAGCCGGCCUGAGAGGGGGGACGGCCACCUGAGGACUGAGAUACGGCCCAGACGCCUACGGGAGGCAGCAGUGGGGAAUAUUGCAGAACGGGCGGAAGCGUGAUGCAGCAACGCCGCGUGCGGGAUGACGGCCUUCGGGUUGUAAACCGAUUUCGCCUGUGACGAAGAGUGAGUGACGGUAAUGGGUAAAGAAGCACCGGCUAACUACGUG